GUGAAUUGAAUAUGUUAGCGGACCUCUUCGGAGUCCCUAGCAUCAAAUCAUAUCCAUAACACCUGUGAACUGUAAGGCUGUCUUGAAAACGAAAGUGAUUAGAGCGCCUGCCCAUUUUAUACAAACAUUAAAGUAACAAACGUAGUCUGAUAACAUAUUAUGAAUAUACUUAAUUCAAAAUA
rnacentral:misc_RNA from 1 species